rfam:Myotis davidii contig118796, whole genome shotgun sequence.
GCCGGUUUGGCUCAGUGGAUAGAGCGUCAGCCUGCGGACUGAAGGGUCCCAGGUUCGAUUCCUGUCAAGGGCA